rnacentral:piRNA from 1 species
UACAGAAAUGGUAUGGUCAUGGUAUGCCUU